GAUGAACGCUAGCGGCAGGCCUAACACAUGCAAGUCGAGGGGCAGCACAGAAACAGCACUGUUUUGGUGGCGACCGGCGGACGGGAGCGUAACGCGUAUGCAACCUACCUUUAACAGGGGGAUAACGGAGGGAAAUUUCCACUAAUACCCCAUAACAUCGAUCAAGGCAUCGUGCUUGGUUGAAAACUCCGGUGGUUAAAGAUGGGCAUGCGUUGUAUUAGGUAGUUGGUGAGGCAAUGGCUCACCAAGCCUACGAUACAUAGGGGGACUGAGAGGUUAGCCCCCCACACUGGUACUGAGACACGGACCAGACUCCUACGGGAGGCAGCAGUGAGGAAUGUUGGUCAAUGGGGGCAACCCUGAACCAGCCAUGCCGCGUGCAGGAAGACGGCUCUAUGAGUUGUAAACUGCUUUUAAACAGGGAUAAAGCACAGUAUGUAUACUGUGUUGAAGGUACUGUAAGAAUAAGGAUCGGCUAACUCCGUGCCAGCCGCCGCAGUAA
rnacentral:rRNA from 1 species